rnacentral:rRNA from 1 species
UACGAAGGGGGCUAGCGUUGCUCGGAAUCACUGGGCGUAAAGCGCACGUAGGCGGCUUCUUAAGUCAGGGGUGAAAUCCUGGAGCUCAACUCCAGAACUGCCUUUGAUACUGAGGAGCUUGAGUCCGGGAGAGGAUAGUGGAAUUCCCAGUGUAGAGGUGAAAUUCGUAGAUAUUGGGAAGAACACCGGUGGCGAAGGCGGCUCUCUGGACCGAGACUGACGCUGAGGCGCGAAAGCGUGGGGAGCAAACAGG